rnacentral:rRNA from 1 species
UACGUAGGGAGCGAGCGUUGUCCGGAUUCAUUGGGCGUAAAGAGCUCGUAGGCGGCUUGAUAAGUCGGAUGUGAAACCUCCAGGCUCAACCUGGAGUCGCCAUCCGAUACUGUCAUGGCUAGAGUUCGGCAGGGGAGACUGGAAUUCCUGGUGUAGCGGUGAAAUGCGCAGAUAUCAGGAGGAACACCGGUGGCGAAGGCGGGUCUCUGGGCCGAUACUGACACUGAGGAGCGAAAGCGUGGGGAGCGAACAGG